AAAAUGGGGAACAAUUACUCGUUCUUAAGCAAGGAGUUAAUAGACCAGUUGCUGACGUUGCUGUCGGCCGUCUCGGAUAUCGUCCAGCAUUCCGCAAGGCUGUAACGAUCAGCACGCGGCACUAAACUUAAUUUGCCGGUUCGUAAAUGGCACCGGAACGUAACCACCGGCGCGGCGUCGUUGCUCAAUGUCAUCAUCGCGUCGCGCAUCUAAGAUAUGAAUCGAUGUAUUGCUUACGUAAGCGAAUAAAAUAGCGAAAUUACGAUCGAAUUUCCUUUCGACUUAAAGAAGGUUGCUGAUAAACACUCGAUGAAUGAAAAUGGAACUGGCACACGCAGAUCACACCCUUCAUCGAUCCAGCCCACGUCUCCUAUUAUCCUAGACAAUGGUCGGGACAAACUAGCAACGAAGUUACCUCAUCGAGGUCGACCGUCUUGGGAAAUAGAAUAUUGGAUGGGCGAUCAUGAGCGAUAUUCUACUGUCUACAGGGUGGUUCAUCGAACGUAAGUCCUAUUAUCCCUUUUUCAGUUUAGAGGCAAAAGGAACGUUGGUAUAACAAGACAAUAGACGAAUGAUGUCAUGGGGCGUACGAAGCGCGAAGGUGAUCUUCUUUUUAUCAACUAGUUUCUCAGAAGCUUUGGUUACCAUUACUUGUUACGAUAUAUCUCUGGCGACUUAAUUGUUUCAAGUUUUACACACCGACCUAGAUUCUUAACAUAAUUGACAAAUUAUACAAUAUUCUUUCACGUCAGAGGUGAUAUACUCGUUCCGAGAAAAUUAUGUAUACCCAAGUAUGUUUGUUGAAGAAAUAUGUACUUUGGAUACUUACACACGUAUCUUCAUAUGUUUCUUCAUAUAUCUUUGUAUGUUUAUUUUUAAAGCUAAUUUUAUCUGCCAAACUUUAUCUUAUCUCAUCUUCUGUAUUUAUAUUUUAUAUUUAUUAUUACAUAUCAUUUUCUAUA